GCCGGGGUGCCCGAGCGGACCAAGGGGCUGGCCUGGAGACUCUGCCGGUCAGCCAGUGGGGGUCUUCCCUGCGCGGGUUCAAAUCCCGCCCCCGGCG
rnacentral:tRNA from 1 species